rnacentral:rRNA from 1 species
CUACGGGUCGCACCAGUGGGGAAUCUUGGACAAUGGGCGCAAGCCUGAUCCAGCCAUGCCGCGUGAGUGAAGAAGGCCUUAGGGUCGUAAAGCUCUUUCGCCAGAGAUGAUAAUGACAGUAUCUGGUAAAGAAACCCCGGCUAACUCCGUGCCAGCAGCCGCGGUAAUACGGAGGGGGUUAGCGUUGUUCGGAAUUACUGGGCGUAAAGCGCGCGUAGGCGGAUUAGUCAGUCAGAGGUGAAAUCCCAGGGCUCAACCCUGGAACUGCCUUUGAUACUGCUAGUCUUGAGUUCGCGAGAGGUGAGUGGAAUUCCGAGUGUAGAGGUGAAAUUCGUAGAUAUUCGGAGGAACACCAGUGGCGAAGGCGGCUCACUGGCUCGAUACUGACGCUGAGGUGCGAAAGUGUGGGGAGCAAACAGGAUUAGAUACCCGGGUAGUC